rnacentral:rRNA from 1 species
GACGAACGCUGGCGGCGUGCUUAACACAUGCAAGUCGAGCGGUAAGGCCCUUCGGGUACACGAGCGGCGAACGGGUGAGUAACACGUGGGUGACCUGCCCUUAGCUCUGGGAUAAGCCUGGGAAACUGGGUCUAAUACCGGAUAUGACCUCAUGACGCAUGUUGUGGGGUGGAAAGCCUUGUGCGGCUAGGGAUGGGCCCGCGGCCUAUCAGCUUGUUGGUGGGGUGAUGGCCACCAAGGCGACGACGGGUAGCCGGCCUGAGAGGGCGACCGGCCACACUGGGACUGAGACACGGCCCAGACUCCUACGGGAGGCAGCAGUGGGGAAUCUUGCGCAAUGGGCGAAAGCCUGACGCAGCGACGCCGCGUGAGGGAUGA